AGAAUCAACGCUGGCGGCGUGCCUAACACAUGCAAGUCGCACGAGAAAGGGACUUCGGUCCCGAGUAAAGUGGCGCACGGGUGAGUAACACGUGACUAAUCUACCCUCGAGUGGGGAAUAACCUAGGGAAACCUGGGCUAAUACCGCAUAACACUUACGAGUCAAAGCAGCAAUGCGCUUGGGGAGGAGGUCGCGGCAGAUUAGUUAGUUGGCGGGGUAAUGGCCCACCAAGACGAUGAUCUGUAUCCGGCCUGAGAGGGCGCACGGACACACUGGAACUGAAACACGGUCCAGACUCCUACGGGAGGCAGCAGUGGGGAAUUUUGCGCAAUGGGGGAAACCCUGACGCAGCAACGCCGCGUGGAGGAUGAAGUCUCUUGGGACGUAAACUCCUUUCGACAGGGACGAUAAUGACGGUACCUGUAGAAGAAGCCCCGGCUAACUUCGUGCCAGCAGCCGC
rnacentral:rRNA from 1 species